rnacentral:lncRNA from 1 species
UUGUGGAUAAUCAAUGGGUUCUCAACAAUUGUCCUCUUAUCACUGUUGCAAUCAUGACCCUUGCCGUGAUGGCCAUGAAGUUAAGCUGUAUGAGUGUUCUGCAUUGAAGUUGCGGAGGUGGUAGCAUCCUGCGUUGUUCUUUGCAAGUCUGAUACACUUGACUAAAAAGUCUACAAUUCAUCUUCUUCGUCGAUUCAGUAUCAUUCCAUUUGUCACACAGUGAGUUAACUCAGAGGAGCUGAGAAAGUGGAGUUUCUAAAGUCAGAGGGUGUGGAUCAUAUUGUUGAUAUCAGCAAAGAAGGUGUUAUUGAAAGUGUGAAGGCGUUUUUGAAAACAAGACAGCUCUAAGGGGUUGAUGUUUUAUAUGAUCCAGUUGGAGGCAAGACUGCAAAAGAAAGCUUAAAGGUGUUGAGUUGGGGAGCACAGAUUUUGGUUAUCGGGUUCACGAGUGGGGUGGUCCCAGUUAUUCCUGUUAAUAUUGCUCUUGUUUAGAAUUGGACGGUUAUUUUUGUAGUUUUGGGCAUCAUUGUUCCACUAUCUGUUUGUAUUGGGGCGCUGGGUUUGAAGUGUCUUGCUU